rnacentral:rRNA from 1 species
UCCUACGGGAGGCAGCAGUGGGGGAUAUUGCACAAUGGGGGAAACCCUGAUGCAGCGACGCCGCGUGUGGGAAGACGGUCCUCUGGAUUGUAAACCACUGUCCCCAGGGACGAAGAUGACGGUACCUGGGGAGGAAGCUCCGGCUAACUACGUGCCAGCAGCCGCGGUAAUACGUAGGGAGCGAGCGUUGUCCGGAAUUACUGGGUGUAAAGGGAGCGUAGACGGCUGCGCAAGUCAGAAGUGAAAGCCCGGGGCUCAACCGCGGGACUGCUUUUGAAACUGUGUAGCUAG